GGGGUUUGAUCAUGGCUCAGGAUGAACGCUGGCGGCGUGCUUAACACAUGCAAGUCGAACGAACCUUCGGGUUAGUGGCGGACGGGUGAGUAACGCGUGAGAAUCUGCCCUCAGGAGGGGGAUAACGGUUGGAAACGACCGCUAAUACCCCAUAUGCCUAUUGGUGAAAUGAAUUUCGCCUGAGGAUGAGCUCGCGUCUGAUUAGCUAGUUGGUGAGGUAAUGGCUCACCAAGGCUUCGAUCAGUAGCUGGUCUGAGAGGAUGAUCAGCCACACUGGGACUGAGACACGGCCCAGACUCCUACGGGAGGCAGCAGUGGGGAAUUUUCCGCAAUGGGCGAAAGCCUGACGGAGCAACGCCGCGUGAGGGACGAAGGCCUCUGGGCUGUAAACCUCUUUUCUCAAGGAAGAAGAUAUGACGGUACUUGAGGAAUAAGCCACGGCUAAUUCCGUGCCAGCAGCCGCGGUAAUACGGGAGUGGCAAGCGUUAUCCGGAAUUAUUGGGCGUAAAGCGUCCGCAGGCGGCUUUUCAAGUCUGCUGUUAAAGCGUGGAGCUUAACUCCAUCAUGGCAGUGGAAACUGAAAGGCUUGAGUAUGGUAGGGGCAGAGGGAAUUCCCGGUGUAGCGGUGAAAUGCGUAGAUAUCGGGAAGAACACCAGUGGCGAAGGCGCUCUGCUGGGCCAUUACUGACGCUCAUGGACGAAAGCCAGGGGAGCGAAAGGGAUUAGAUACCCCUGUAGUCCUGGCCGUAAACGAUGAACACUAGGUGUCGGGGGAAUCGACCCCUUCGGUGUCGUAGCUAACGCGUUAAGUGUUCCGCCUGGGGAGUACGCACGCAAGUGUGAAACUCAAAGGAAUUGACAGGGGCCCGCACAAGCGGUGGAGUAUGUGGUUUAAUUCGAUGCAACGCGAAGAACCUUACCAGGGUUUGACAUCCUGCGAACCUCUUAGAAAUUUGAGGGUGCCUUCGGGAAUGCAGUGACAGGUGGUGCAUGGCUGUCGUCAGCUCGUGUCGUGAGAUGUUGGGUUAAGUCCCGCAACGAGCGCAACCCACGUUUUUAGUUGCCAGCAUUUAGUUGGGCACUCUAGAAAGACCGCCGGUGAUAAACCGGAGGAAGGUGUGGAUGACGUCAAGUCAUCAUGCCCCUUACACCCUGGGCUACACACGUACUACAAUGCUACGGACAAAGGGCAGCAAACUCGCGAGAGCUAGCAAAUCCCAUAAACCGUGGCUCAGUUCAGAUCGUAGGCUGCAACUCGCCUACGUGAAGUAGGAAUCGCUAGUAAUCGCAGGUCAGCAUACUGCGGUGAAUACGUUCCCGGGCCUUGUACACACCGCCCGUCACACCAUGGAAGUUGGCCAUGCCCGAAGUCGUUACUCCAACCCUUGUGGAGGAGGACGCCGAAGGUGGGGCUAAUGACUGGGGUGAAGUCGUAACAAGGUAACCGUA
rnacentral:rRNA from 1 species